AUGGAAGCCAACCAAACCCCAAGAAGCAUGCCCAUGGUGCCGACGAUGCGCCCCCGCCUCCCUUGGCGAGUCCAUCACCGAGACGGAGGCGCUCUUUUGGCCGGCCUAGCCAACCAAACCCUAAGAAGCUCGGUCAUGGCGCCAACCACGCGGGAAGAGGUGUCGGGAUCCAUGGAGGCCCAACCGGAAGCCGCACCGCCAUCGCAGCGAGGCAAGAGGAAGAAAACCUCCGCGGAUUCGUCGCCCGCAGCAUCUCAACCAGGCAAGAGUGAAGCCUUGGAGCCGUCCGAGAGCGAGAGGCGGAAGAGAACCCACAAGAGCGACGACGAGAAGAAAGCCACCACGAGCAAGGGUGAGCAGGCGGCUUCGGCUUCACCGAGCGCAUUGGACGCCUCUUCCUCCUCGUCCUCUACGGUCAGCUCUCCCCUGCGUCGGCCUCAUUCCCCUGCCUGCCUCCGAGAAUUUACACAUGACGAGGGCCCUGAGGUUGUGGCUGCCAUUGAAGCUUAUGAGGAGUUGGAAUCCAAGUACCUUGCGAAAUUAAAGCGCCAACAGGAGCUCGUAACACUUGAUCCGUCUAUGCCUUAUUCGUGUAUGGUAAAUGCGGACUUGCAGCGUGUUCGUGAGUCUGCAACAAAAACAGUUCUCCAAGUGGCUAAAGUUAUUCUUCGCUUUUCAUCCUUUAUUGACGGUAAACUGAUGGCACAAUCAUCUGGCUUUUUAAUUGAUUGGGAUGAGGGGACUAAAGAGGGCACUGUUCUGACAUCUGCGCGCAUAAUCUGCUCAAAAUAUACAGUCCGAAGCCAGUGGUCAGGUACAGAUGAGUAUGCACCUAAUGCUGAGGUUGUUGCUUAUUUAUUGGAUCAAGAUGAUACUACUGUACCUGCACACUUGCUUCAAUAUGACAAGCACAUCAAUAUUGCCUUGUUUAAGGUUGAUAUAGACUUGUGUGCUAAGAUUCCUACCUUCAAUAAUGAAGUGUUCUAUGGUCAAGACAUAUUUGUGCUUGGUAGAGACGAAGAUCUAAAUUUGACUGUGCAUCAUGGAUGUGUUCAAUUUAUGGGCCCAACUACAUAUGAACGUCAUCACCAUUUGUUCACUGGUUGUGUGAUUAAGCAGGCUAGCAUUGGAGGACCCGUUAUUGAUUUUAAUGGGCAAGUUUUGGGGAUGGCUAAUUUUCCAGGAACAGCAUUUAUCCCUUGCUCUAUUAUAUUGAAGUGCUUGGAUAUGUGGAAAAAAUUUCAGUGUAUCCCUCGGUUGCAUAUUGGGAUGAAGCUUUCAGCCAUUAAAUAUCUAGAUCCAAUUCGUGCGGAGAAGAUCUUCCGUAAGUGUAAUGUCGAUUCGGGUCUAAUAGUUAUUGAGGUGUCACAUGGAUCAAUUGCUGAGGAACUAGGAGUUAGACCUGGUGAUAUCAUUUACUCCAUGAACGGAGAGUGCAUUGCUACCACAGUGGAGUUGGAGAACUUAAUUAUGAGAAUAUGCGGGACUUAUCUUGAACAAGGAGGAGCCAUCGGUUCCUGCAUGGACAUACCAGUUGGUAUAUUGCACAUGCGGAAAGGUCGCAAAGGUCCGAGUCGCACUUUAAGCCUGAUAUUAAAUGUAUCAGAUGACGUAGAGGUGUUCAAAAGUGAUAUGGAUUUCUGA
rnacentral:rRNA from 1 species